rnacentral:rRNA from 1 species
CCUACGGGAGGCAGCAGUGAGGAAUAUUGGUCAAUGGACGAAAGUCUGAACCAGCCAAGUAGCGUGAAGGAUGACUGCCCUAUGGGUUGUAAACUUCUUUUAUAUGGGAAUAAAAUGUUCCACGUGUGGGAUUUUGUCUGUACCAUAUGAAUAAAGAUCGGCUAACUCCGUGCCAGCAGCCGCGGUAAUACGGAGGAUCCGAGCGUUAUCCGGAUUUAUUGGGGUUAAAGGGAGCGUAGGUGGAUGGUUAAGCCAGGUGUGAAAGUUUGCGGCUCAACCGUAAAAUUGCAGUUGAGACUGGCAGUCUUGAGUACAGUAGAGGUGGGCGGAAUGCGUGGUGUAGCGGUGAAAUGCUUAGAUAUCACGAAGAACUCCGAUUGCGAAGGCAGCUUACUGGACUGCAACUGACACUGAGGCUCGAAAGUGUGGGUAUCAAACAGGAUUAGAUACCCUUGUAGUC